AGAAGAUUUGCAAGCAAGACUCUGAUUCUUGUCAUAGAGCUCACAGACUUCCUCACUUACCGGCCUUUUUCCUUCCUUUUUUUUUUUUUUUUUUUUAAAUUUCUUCCCUCUUUUUCUGCUCUCUCCUCUCUCAGUUUCUCCUUUCCUGUCUGCCUCGUUUUUUUUUCUCCUGGUCUUCUUUUUUUUCCUGCUCUGCACCUGGAUUGUAUCUUCACCAAACAAUCGGGCACUUUGAGAACUAACUGGAGGCAGUCUUGUAGGGAAGAGCUGUAUGGAAUUAUCUGCUUUUAUGGUGAACUUGGCAUUUGUGAAUGGGUAUCUUGUUCACGAAAUUAAUUGCUAGCAAAAACAAGAAAAAGAACACAGGAGUAAAACGUGGAUUUUUCUGAAUACGCAUUGUGAUGACCAGCAAUUACCUUACCGACUGAUAUCCAGAGGAGAAUAAUUUGGAAGACUGUUGUGGAUGAAUUUGACCGGGCAUGUUUAUCUGACUUCAUUGAUGCCUAUAAACAAUUUGAGUCAAUUGAUUUCAGCUUCGCCACACGGAGUGUCACAUCCCUUAAAGUAGAGAAGGCAGAACUCCACCAGCGGGAAAUACAGAGGUCUUCUAUGAGCAAGUUUCUCCUACAAGAUCACAUUGAAAGUUAGUGGAAAGAAAAGGCCAUAUGUCUUAGGCUCUAAGGGGAUUUCAAGAGCUGCUUCAGAGAACUUUAAAACUUUCAAUAAUGUUUUAAAUACCUGGGGAAUAAAAACAAAAACUAAGAGUAACAAUGUUGGAGGAGGAGGCAGUGGAAAGGAACAGAGAAUAGGCGCAAAAGGAAAAAUAAAGGUGACUGGAAAAAAAAAGACGAUUCCAAAGUGAAGUAAUACAGUACUGUUGCCUCCAACCUUUAUCUUGAAUAUUAAAAGAAUGAGGAUUGAAUAUUUGGGGGAAUCCCAGCAAAGCAAGAAGGGGUGAAGUUGCUGAGAAGGGCCAAUGCCAGUGGUAUGUGACUCCAGGACCUACUCAAAGAAGUUUGCAGGUCCAUUUGUAGAUCUUGAUCUACACAUCCUGAGACUCAAUAGUUAAUUUUACCCACUCAGAUAAAGGUUUUAUUUAUCUGAUUUUAACAGAUGCAAUAAAAGUUAUUUAAAUU
rnacentral:lncRNA from 1 species